CUCUAUUAUCAUAUUUAUUCUAAUAAGCUGACUUCUAUUACAAACUUUAAAUAAUAGAUACCAUUCUACUCUAGAAAGGGCUGUCAUACUAAUUAAAUCCGUAGUUCGCCUUAAAUGUCUACUUAUUAUUCAAAUGCAUUCCUCAUUAGUAUGUACAUGCAGUACAGUUGAACAAAUAUAGCAAAGACAUACAAGGCUUUGAAUUCACUUUUUACCAAACAGAUUCAAUUGGUUAAAUCGAACUAGGAAGUUUUCAAGUGUGAAUAAAUAGAACUUCAAUGAUUACUUGUGCAUAUUUUCAUACUUGUACGUGACAUUUGAUUCGCAUAAUGAAAGUCUAUAACACAUAAUGCAUAUAAUCUAAGGUUAUGAAGUGCAAUGCUGCAGUAUGUUUUAUUAUCGGAUGAGUUAUCUUGUCCAUUUUUGAUAUUGAAAAAUAAAAAAACACCUUGCUGUGACUGUUGAUUUGUAAAAAAAACCAGCAAUUUGAAAAGUUUCAAUUUUAGUUUCAAUUUUAUAUGUUUAUAUAAGGUAGAUUUGUAAGUCUUCAAGGUGUUGUGUAAUUUGUCUUUCCGUUUAAAGUCUACUUUGAAAUCAUGCCUUCUUCUUGUACCGGCUGUGGGAUAACUUUCUACGUAAUUCAAGUAUGCUUUCAUUAAUUGGGGAAUGCAUUUGACCCAUGCUAUGAGUAUUCGACUAUUUCCAAUGAAGAGAAGCGUUCACCAUCUUACAAUUUUGAUCUUAACAAUGACAUACCUAUUUCUGAUGAAAGAUUGACACAGGAUUGGUACAGGAUUGAAAUGGACACUGGCAGUCUUAUUCCAAACCAAAGUCCAGGAGCUUUCAGAUGUGGGACAUUUAAUCCUAUAUGGUUAAACGGAAUAUUACCAUCAGUACCAAACGUACAAGUUAGUCUACCAGUGUGUGUUCAAUCAUUCGACAACGGCUGUUCUCAAACUUGGAACAUCAACAUUAAAUUCUGCUGUGGGAAUUAUUUGGUAUAUGAACUGCGUACAAGCGCUGUUGAUAAGUCUGCCUAUUGCUUCGGAAAUGUUUCUAGUGGAUUUAACUUCUUAGAAAGUAACGAUCAUAUAUGCCAAAGUAAGUCAGUAGGAUGUAUUUCUUAUUUAGAACAAUAUCAAUACAAAAAAUAUUGUUAAAAUGAAUCAUAUCAGUUACUCUUAACAAUACAAAGUCUGCAAUAUACUAGUACAUUUUUGCAGUAAGGUUGAUAGUUCUCUUCAAAAAAUAUAAUGUGUUUCGCUGUAUAACUAGAUUGUCACUAUAUGUGAUUCUAUUUUAUCAUAUGGAAAAUCUUACUACUUUUUACAUUUGUGUACUAGAUUACUUGUUUUUAACUAACAGCUUGCUUCAGCUAACACUUCUAAUGAUGUUUGGUCUUUUAAAGAUGCUAAGCUAUGUACAUUCAUGCAAAUGUUAUAAUAUAUGGUUUUAAUGAAUAACUAGGUUUUUUUCAAGAUUACAUUUCAAAGUGAAGUAAAAAUAUUUUGAGAAAGUUUAACAUAUGAAACAUUGCAAAUAUAAAGAAAAAAAAUAUGAUCUGUCUCACUUCUAAAAUGAAUAGGAUUUAUUUAAAAUUAUCUUAUAGAACUUGUUUGAUGCCAAAUAUUAUACUAAAUUCAGUAAUACAUCUUUGAACAUUAUAGUUAUUGAUCGUUAUGGAAUGUGAUUCAUUGAUCAUGAAACAGAAUAUUUUCCAUAUAAAUGCAACAUAAUCACAAUUUGGAACAUGCUCUAUGUAUGACUUAGUGAUUUUAACCGUGUUUCAUUCUUAGCAACACACCAAGUUAGAACUGUAAGUACUUUACCAUUUAUAAAAUAUUUCGCACAACCUUUUAAAUAAGAACAUUAAACUAUAUAAGAAUAAAAUACUUUUUGUGUGAGUUAGAUGUUAAACGUUACAGUUAAUUCAUUACCCGAUCAUUUUUAUAUUAAUUAUUAUACGAAACUGAUAUUAGUCGAAUAAACAUAUUUGGUACCUUUAUUUUUUAUUAUUAUGUCUUAAAUUUCAGAAGUUUCUGCUUCAACUUUGAUUUGGCAUUACAUACAGAAAUUAUCUUAGGCUUUCUGUGACCAUUAUUACAAUCAAUAGGUGUGACAAGUCGUCGCAGCGUUUGUUAGGCAAUUAAAUGGAAACACAUGCUAUGUCUCUUUGCAGAAAAUAUCCUUAUCAAGAUUUAUAUUGAAUGUUUUGACGUGAGUGAAACUUGAAUGAAAAGAACCUGAAAUUUUGUUAGAAAAAGGAAUAACAAACAUACUGAAGUCAAAGGCAGAUUCAAAAAGGGGAAGUCCGUAUAAGUUGACAAAAUUAAACAGUCAAUCAACGGAACAAGUGAAAAACAACUGCAUUUCAUCUCAGCGAUACAACUACGCAAUCUUUAAAAAGGGUCAAAUUAAACCAAGGAAGCAAGACCAAUAAACUCACAUUUAUUUGAACGUCUCGGUAUUUCAAAUAUUCUUUGAAUUUGUACAAAAUGUAAAACAUUUUAGAUGUAUUUGUAUAAUUUGAAAUUUUGAUACUAUUUUAUAAUAAGAAAUUUAAAUACCUAUACGCAGCUGAAGAUUUGAUUGAUUUUUUUUUAAGUUUUGCAUUUUGGGGUUUCUCAUGUAACAAAAGAGCGGCAAUGGCAUUGACUUUCAAAAAGAACAGGAUAAUACGGAAAGCAAAAGUAUAAACUCUCCUACAUGUGAUCAAUCUCUAGCUUUUUGUCUCGCCGUGACGGAGUCCAAAAGCAAGACAUAUGCAAUUGUAUAAGCAUUAGCACAUCUCAUUUCCAUGGAGAAUAUUUGGUCCCGCCAACCCAGUCAUGGUCUAUUGACUUUGAAACUUUUGCUUAGUUUACAUGUAUUCGUUUGUGAUUGAACCGCUAAUGUUAAGUCAUUGAUAUUCGGUAUGCAAAUUUAUUGGUAUUUUCAAGUCUCGUUUCCAUGGAGAUUAUAUAGCCCCACCCCCUCAUCAUGGUUCAUUGACUUUGAAACUUUUACAUAGUUUACAAGUCAAUGUUUGUGUUUAGGUUUGUUGAAAGGGAACGACUUAUGAUAAGUCUAUGGUAUUUGGUAUGCAGUUGUAUUAUCAUCGGCACAUCUCAUUUCCAUGGAGAUUGUUUAACCAUGUACCUUCAGUUAUCGUUCAUUGACUUUGAAAUUAAAGAGCCUGAAAUAUAUAAGUUCAAAUCUGACUAAGGCCAUCUACGCCUUGUGUUAGAAAGACCGUAAAGUUUCAAGUCAUUCACACUAUUUUGUAAACAUCAAAAUGACGAGAAUAAUUAGAUCUACAAAUAGCUAAGUCGAAUGACCGAAAUCGUCAAUUGACCCCUUAUCCGAAUAAUUGCCCUUCCAGAGAGAUUAUUACCAAUUCAUUAUAUGUUUUUUGCUAAAACUAUUACACAUAAAGAGUAUCUUUCAGUAUUAAAAAUUAUCAGCAAAAGAUGAUCUUCAAAAACGUCCGUACGAUAUAGCCAAUUGACCCUAUACUGGAGAUUUUACCUGUGAAAGACCAUUUCUUAUUUGUGUGUGUUUUGUUUUUGUUGUUUUUGAAGAAGCUAUAUUCGAUAGAAAUGAUUGUUGCAGCAAACAUGUCCAACAAAAUAAAUAAAGGCAACAGUAGUA